rnacentral:lncRNA from 1 species
GGAACAGUCUAUUACUCUGCACUAUCACGGUGAUGCUGUGUUGGGUAAACUAGAAACUAAAAUGGAGAAGUCCACGUUGGAAAAUGUUCGGUUAGAAGACAUACUUCAUUUUCUUGCAAGAGAAGGAAUUGAUUCCCUUGCUACUACAGAAGAUCAGCUUUGUUACAUCUGGUGUUUAUUCCAACAUAGUGAGGAUAGGCUGAGGACUGCUUCUAGAGACUUGGAAGAGCUCAGAGUAAAACACAUGGAAGAAAUGAAAGAAGUGGAAAAUUAUGUGAGUCAUGUCCGUCAAUUAACAGAAGAAAGAGAAGCCUUAACCCAUGAUUUUGAAAAAGAGAGUGAGAGACUUCAACUUGAAUUUAAAGAACUGCAGCUCCAACAAGAGAUCGAGCUAAAGGAGAUUGAAGGAAUGUUGUAUCAGGAGGGCUUAUCAGAAAUAGCUCAGAGCAGUCCCAGUGAACAGAUUGCGUAUUUAUUGGUAGAGAGAACAACAUUGUUGGAGAAGCUGGAAUUGGCC